UGCUGAUACAAUAUAAAAAAUACAGAAUUAAUGACAUCUAAAUCUGAAUUAAUAAGAUGUGCCGUUCAGAUUGAAAGCAGUUUGACAUCUUUUCACAUCUUUUUCAAUACGAGAAAAAUUAAUUCAGAGUUCUUCAAAAUAUGAACAUUUUUUGACAGGUAAAACUUUUCAGAUAAACUUUUUCAAUGAAAAUAGAAGCAUUCAUUCCACAGAAAAGUUUUCUCAGGGGAAAGCCAUUUAAUCACAAGCUAUAUAUAACACAGGAAAUAGCAUCCUUUGUUGAAUCACUAGCUGCCACAAAGAGUCCUCAGUUUUCUAUAGUGGUCCUGUCCCUGCUGAGAGUGAGAGAUUCCUCAUGUCCAUGGCCCUGCAAAGGUUUAAAUUAAACCUACCUUACACACAUUGUGGGAGGCUGAAUUUAAUUUAAUGGCUUCAGCCCAAAAUCCAGAGAGAUACAUGUUCUCUGAAGACACUUCCACAAGACAAUUUGGUGAUAGCUCUGCAUAAAUCACCUUAUUUGCCAUUUUGAAGAAACUUCUUCAGAUCUGCGAUCAAAAUGGACUCACUGAAGAAGUAGUACCCCGUAUGACAUCCUUUCUGACCUCCUCCCACCCAUCACACCACAGCAGGUCAAAAUAAAGGUUUAGCUGUCUGUAAAAUGGAAGGAAACUAGAAGCUUCAUUUUUUUCUUAUUUAAAUUCACACCUUGUAUCAUUAUUUUUAGCUCCUCCUGUUGAUGUAUCUUCAAUAAAAACACCAUAGUUAUGAUUUUUAUCAACUUGCUCAUAAUUUGCGACCUCCAGCCCACUCAUAAUUUUAACCUGGAACAUGACCUGCCAACAUGCAGAGUAUGCUCAUAUCCUGUUCAAACCAAC
ensembl:lncRNA